rnacentral:lncRNA from 10 species
GGAAACCCGAGUUGGAAACAGUCAGCUGGGGAGGAGAGGGAGCAACUUAUUUGCUGAAUCUUUCCUGCUUUGUUUCUGCCUUUGGUCAAAGUCUUACCCUCAGGACAUCCAUAUCCCAGAAGGUUUUUUUGUUUGUUUGUUUAACCUGGCCAAUUCUCUAGGAAGCAUCCAGGGAAACCCAAGCUUUAUUGGCCAUAAGCCAGACACUGUGUAGGCAUAGGGGUCUCUUUCUGUCAGUUGGCACCAAGCAAAGGGUGCUUCAGUCUGCAGUGUUGGUAUCAGCAGUGGCUAUCAGAACUCUACAACUCUCGGAAUAGCUUCUGCUACAGCUGAUCUGGCCAAGAAACCAGGCAAGUGGCCAAGGCCUGAAGAGGCAUGGCUGAAUUGAUCUAGAGUGGCAGAGCAAGUCACCUUGGAAGAUAACUUUUUUGUUCAGAGAAGAAUCACUGGAAUGGUCCUUUUAAGAUCUGUGGGAAAAUCCUUAGGAAUUUCUACAUAAACUAUUGAUGGCAGUGGUGGCCCAUCUGGAGUGGCCACUGUGAAGAUGCCAGCUGCAAUAGGGAGGGCAUGACUGGGGCUGCACAUUCCAUGGAGCCAGCGGGAGCCAGGAACAGGUGGGAACCCUCUUCCAAGUUGGUGGGGUAGGAGCCCCAUGUUCCUGAGCACAGCUGCAGCCUCCCAGCCAUAGCUGUGUACCCGGGCAUCCCUAUGCUCUCAGGAGCCUGGGAAGACCCGCUGACAGGCUCAGAAUUGCCUGCUCCUGCUGCCUGCCCUCCCCCCACUGCCAGCGCCCACUCCAAUUUUAGAGCAAAGUUGAAGCCAAGCCCAGACAUUUGUUGCAACCCAGCUGGUGUCUGUAUGCUCAGGGCGGUGCUGACACGACAGAACCCUGCUGCCACGGCCCCUUCUGGGUUUCAGGCACUAACAAGCAUGGAAGGAAGGCCAAUGAGGUGCUGAGGGCAGCUCAGAGUGGGCCUGCAAGGCACCCCUCAGCACAAACACUCUGCGUGCCUUGGACAACCUGAUUGAUGGCAGCAGGAGACAGAUAGGCUCCUGAGCAUAAAGGAGUGGGUCCCCAGCGAAGCCCCCUCCCCCCACCUCAAGCCCUGAAGCGUGGGGGCUGGCUGUCAUCCCUGAAGCCUGAGGGCCAGGCUGUCAAAUCCAGUUGGAGUCCACGGCCCUCAAUGAGAACUUACACGAUGCUUUUUUCCAGUCCUGCCCACGGCUGCCCACGGACCAAUCAGCACGCAGUUCCUCCCUUCUGAGACCAUAAAAAUCCCAGACACAGUCAGACUCACAGAGAUAACUGACUACCAGCUGUGAGAGGGAGCUACCCAAUUUGAGUCUCCUUAACCCAUCCGACCACGUGUUUGCAGAAAAAAGAGCUCUACCCACUCCGAGUCUCCUGUUUGCUGAGGGCUGCACUCCUCACGACAACCUGCCUGCAGAAAGGAGCUCUACCCACUCCGGGUCUCCUCUCUGCUGAGAGCUGGACACUCAUUGGGACGACCUGCCUACAGAUAGGUGUCGAAUUUGGGCCCAUAACACAAGCCAAGUGCAGCCUGCCAGGCCAAGUAGAUGGAACAAGCCCAGCAGGCCUGAGCAAAACUCGGACAAAGAUGCCAACGGCCACAGAGGUUUCUGGCUAGAAAAGCAACACCUUAAGGAUCCCAAGACUAUCAUGUUAUCUGCCAAUAAAGACAGUUUUCCUUCUUUUCA